rnacentral:lncRNA from 1 species
AAUCCUCUCAUUCCCUCAUUGUGCAUUUUUGCAAAACAAUAUUUUCUGCAGAAACCAUUCAAAGAAAUCAAAGAACCCUUGCAUCCUUCAUCAUCCAAACAUCAUUUGGAGCCUUGUUACAGCCUCCUUCACCAGCUGGGAUUUCAUCUUGGAGCUCUGUUUUCUCAAAGCAUCAGCCAUGGCAUUUGCGAGCUCGAGCUGAAUUUGAACUG